rnacentral:rRNA from 1 species
CGAGCGGGAAUGCAGAGGCGGAAUUUUUCGGAAGGAAGCCUUUGUGUUUUAGCGGCGGACGGGUGAGUAACGCGUGGAUAACCUGCCCCAUACCGGGGGAUAACAGUUAGAAAUGACUGCUAAUACCGCAUAAGCGCACGGAGCCGCAUGGCGCAGUGUGAAAAACUCCGGUGGUAUGGGAUGGAUCCGCGUCUGAUUAGCUAGUUGGCGGGGUAACGGCCCACCAAGGCAGCGAUCAGUAGCCGACCUGAGAGGGUGGCCGGCCACAUUGGGACUGAGACACGGCCCAAACUCCUACGGGAGGCAGCAGUGGGGAAUAUUGCACAAUGGGGGAAACCCUGAUGCAGCAACGCCGCGUGAGUGAAGAAGUAUUUCGGUAUGUAAAGCUCUAUCAGCAGGGAAGAAGAGAGACGGUACCUGACUAAGAAGCCCCGGCUAACUACGUGCCAGCAGCCGCGGUAAUACGUAGGGGGCGAGCGUUAUCCGGAUUUACUGGGUGUAAAGGGAGCGUAGACGGUUAAUCAAGUCUGAAGUGAAAGCCCGCGGCUCAACUGCGGAACGGCUUUGGAAACUGAGUAACUAGAGUGCUGGAGGGGCAGGCGGAAUUCCUGGUGUAGCGGUGAAAUGCGUAGAUAUCAGGAGGAACACCGGUGGCGAAGGCGGCCUGCUGGACAGUAACUGACGUUGAGGCUCGAAAGCGUGGGGAGCAAACAGGAUUAGAUACCCUGGUAGUCCACGCGGUAAACGAUGAAUGCUAGGUGUCGGUGAGCAAAGCUCAUCGGUGC